rnacentral:rRNA from 1 species
UACGGAGGGUGCGAGCGUUAAUCGGAAUUACUGGGCGUAAAGCGCGCGUAGGCGGUUUGGUAAGCUGGAUGUGAAAGCCCUGGGCUCAACCUGGGAACUGCAUCCAGAACUGCCAAGCUAGAGUAUGGUAGAGGGCAGUGGAAUUUCCGGUGUAGCGGUGAAAUGCGUAGAGAUCGGAGGGAACACCAGUGGCGAAGGCGACUACGCGUACGUCGAAUACUGACACUGAGGUGCGAAAGCGUGGGGAGCAAACAGGAUUAGAUACCCCGGUAGU